GAUGAACGCUGGCGGUAUGCUUAACACAUGCCAGUCGAACGGACUCUUCGGAGUUAGUGGCGGACGGGUGAGUAACGCGUGAGAAUCUGGCUUUGGGUUCGGGACAACCACUGGAAACGGUGGCUAAUACCGGAUGUGCCGAGAGGUAAAAGAGAAAUUGCCUGAAGAUGAGCUCGCGUCUGAUUAGCUAGUUGGUGAGGUAAAGGCUCACCAAGGCAGCGAUCAGUAGCUGGUCUGAGGGGAUGACCAGCCACACUGGGACUGAGACACGGCCCAGACUCCUACGGGAGGCAGCAGUGGGGAAUUUUCCGCAAUGGGCGAAAGCCUGACGGAGCAAUACCGCGUGAGGGAAGAAGGCUCUUGGGUUGUAAACCUCUUUUCUUAGGGAAGAACAAAAUGACGGUACCUAAGGAAUCAGCAUCGGCUAACUCCGUG
rnacentral:rRNA from 1 species